rnacentral:pre_miRNA from 1 species
AAUAUACUCCCUCCGUUCGAAAAAGCUUGUCCCUCAAAUGGAUGUAUCUAGUACUAACUUGGUGCUAGAUACAUUCAUUUGAGGGACAAGCUUUUUUGGACCGAGGGAGUAGUAU